GUUGUGGGUCUGCUUGUUGCUGGUGUUCUACUGGUCAUUCUCCUGGUCCUGCUGGUGAGAUAUCAAAACAGAAAAGGUUCCUGUUUCAACAGAAUAUUCUGGCCCCCUCAGCCCCAGAGAACCAACCAGGACCCCCAACAGGACCAAGGAUCUACCCAGGGUGACACUAACAUCUACGACACGAUCAAUUCCUCAGACAACAAUGAUAAUGAUGUUGCUGGUGCUUCUGCUGCUGGACCAAGGCAUGUGACUUACACCCAGAUUAAUCUGAAAAAGUUGGACAAGAAAAAGAAAGAAAAGAGAAAUUAUCCUCAAGAAAAUCCAGUCUACUCUGAGGUGAAGACAGGGAAAGCGACAGCAGCAGCUGGACCUGUUAAUGUGACCUAUGCUGAGGUUGACCUCCAAAAGAAGGUCAAAACCAAGAAGAAGAGAGAAACAGCAACCCCACCUGAGCCAGAAUCUGUCUAUUCUCUAGUGAAGCCAUACACAGCCCCCGGUAAGAUUAAAUCAACAAUCUAUUAAACGGCAGCUGGACCUGUUGAUGUGACCUAUGUUGAGGUUGAUCUCCAAAAGAAGGUCAAAACCAAGAAGAAGAGAGAAAGAGCAACCCCACCAGAGGCAGAUUCAGUCUAUUCUCGAUUGAAGCCACGCUAAUGCCCCGGUCCUUGAGGGAGAUGGAGGGACACUUCAUCAGAGGAGGAGCAGGAUAAACCUGGGAAUAUGGAUUAUGCACACACACACAUACGCAAGCGCACUCACGCAAGCGCCCUCACACAUACACAUAAGGAUUUAUAUGUAUAUAUAACAACAUAUAUAUUUGAUUUAAUAUUGGUUUUUGUGUAUAACUGCAACAUCUUUUUAAACAAUGACAUGGUGUUAUGGAUCUUAUCUGCAGCUACAGUAAUUGUAUAAAAAUGUUUUAUUUAACUAUACAUUUUGAGAGUAAUGAAACUGGAAGGGAUGAUAGAUGAUCAGGGAAGCAGAUCUGAUGACACCGAGGUCUGAGGAAGCAUUGACGGUCUGAUGAUCCUAUGAACAGAGGGAGCCGCUCAGAGUAGAAAGACAGUCAGGGUCCGUAGCCUCAGCAACGCACCAUGCUGGUGAUGCUUAGCUUAGCUGGCUAGCCACUCCUCUCCACUAACUCUAUGUAGCACCCACUUGGGUGAUGCUAUUAUGCUGCCACAAAGAUGCUGGAAGAAUAACAUUAGCAGUUAAAGUAUCUUAUCCACUAGUCCCAGCCAUCUCCUCAUGCAGUCCUCUCACUUCUUCUGCUUCUCUCCAGUGUUAUGACAUUCUAGUCCAUUCACAUACACACAGUCUCCAAGCUAGCUUGUUAGAUAGCAAUUGAGCCAAAACAGGCAAAUUCGAACUUUAAAAUCAUUAUUGAUGACAAAUUAAUUAUGGAUUCUAAAUUACCAAUCAAAAAACAAAAAGCUGAUAGAAAAAUGGCCAUACAAAAAAACUUAAAGGCCCAGUGCAGUCAAAAAAUGUGAUUUCCUGUGUUGUGUGUAUAUACACUGAGUAUACCAGACAUUAGGAACUACUGCCUAAUAUUCAGUUUUCCCCUUCCCACUCAGACCACUCCCACACAUUCAUAGCAUCAUUCUUGUUUGACAAAUUGCUCUUUGCUUAGAAACUAUUUUUUUUUUUUUUUUUUACCACAAUCACAGUAAGAUUCUUACUUGUUACCCAGAAAUGAUUUGAUAUUGAGAUAAAAGUGGUUGCAUUGGACCUUUAAAGACCACUAAAUAUGAUUAAAUGUACAAAACAUUUAUGAGAACGAUCAUCCAUGGCUUCCAUAGCGGCACCAUCAUGGCUAUUUUAUAUUUAUUGUUUAUGUUGUCAAUGUCUGAAAUGUAUUAUCUUUGAUUCAUUUUUCUGUCAUUACAUGAUAUAAUAACAUAUUUCUUUAUGAUUUUUACAGAAUACUAUCAGUAUUAUACAUGUUUUUUCUAUUCAACUGUACUUUUUGAAUAUCUUUGCAUUGCACUUUUUUAAUAAAC
ensembl:lncRNA